rnacentral:rRNA from 1 species
GAGUUUGAUCCUGGCUCAGGACGAACGCUGACGGCGUGCUUAUCACAUGCACGUUAAACGAGGCAGCGUCCUUCGGCCCGCUGUCGAUGGGCCAUCGGUUGACAAACACGAGAGGAACCUGCCCCUAAGACCGCUAUAACCAGAAUAAACUCUGACUAAUAUCGGAUGCUACCGAUACCCGCAUGGCCAACCGAGAAAUCGCUGCGGCUCUUUGUGAGGGCAUCGCGAUUUAUCACCUUGUUGAUGGGGUAUCGACCUACCAAGGCAUUGAUGGGUAGCUGGUCUGAGAUGACCAUCACUCCACACUGGUACUGAGACACGGCCCAGUCUCCUACGGGAGGCAGCAGUGGGGAAUAUUGCGCAAUGGGCGAAAGCCUGACUCAUCUAACGCCGCGUGGGGGAUGAAGGCCUUCGGGUUGUAAUCCCCUUUCAGCAGGGUCGAAAAUGACGGUACCUGCAGAAGAAGCCCCGGCCAUUUACGUGCCAGCAGCCGCGGUAAUACGUAGGGGGCGAGCGUUGUCCGGAUUUAUUGGGCGUAAAGGGCUCGUAGGCGGCUUGUCAAGUCGUCCGUGAAAACCCAGGGCUCAACCCUGGGACGCCGGUCGAUACUGUCAUGGCUAGGGUCCGGUAGAGGGGAAUGGAAUUACCGGUGUAGCGGUGAAAUGCGCAGAUAUCGGGAGGAACUCCAGUAGCGAAGGCGGUUCCCUGGGCCGGUACCAACGCUGAGGAGCGAAAGCGUGGGUAGCAAACA